GCGGUCGUAGCUUAAAGGCAGAGCGCUUGCGUCUCACCUGCGCAGGAGGUUGUGGGUUCGAAUCCCAUCGUCCGCU
rnacentral:tRNA from 1 species